CAGUAGCCACGGGAAUACGGAGGGUGCAAGCGUUAAUCGGAAUUACUGGGCGUAAAGCGCACGCAGGCAGUUUGUUAAGUCAGAUGUGAAAUCCCCGAGCUUAACUUGGGAACUGCAUUUGAAACUGGCAAGCUAGAGUCUUGUAGAGGGGGGUAGAAUUCCAGGUGUAGCGGUGAAAUGCGUAGAGAUCUGGAGGAAUACCGGUGGCGAAGGCGGCCCCCUGGACAAAGACUGACGCUCAGGUGCGAAAGCGUGGGGAGCAAACAGGAUUAGAUACCCCGGUAGUCCCUGUCUCUUAUAC
rnacentral:rRNA from 1 species